UACGUAGGGUGCGAGCGUUGUCCGGAUUUAUUGGGCGUAAAGAGCUCGUAGGCGGUUUGUCGCGUCGGCCGUGAAAUCUCCACGCUUAACGUGGAGCGUGCGGUCGAUACGGGCAGACUUGAGUUCGGUAGGGGAGACUGGAAUUCCUGGUGUAGCGGUGAAAUGCGCAGAUAUCAGGAGGAACACCGGUGGCGAAGGCGGGUCUCUGGGCCGAUACUGACGCUGGAGGAGCGAAAAGCGUGGGGGAGCGAAACAGG
rnacentral:rRNA from 1 species